ensembl:lncRNA
GGGGAGCCCUACUCCCCUUGCUAAGUAUUGUCCUUAAAGAAACAUGGCUGCUGACCAAAAGCCAGCUUGGGCCUUGCCCCCAGAGUUGUCUUCCCUUGUAGUCCCAGAUGGCUUGUGGUCCCCACCAAAGAGGACCCCGCUCUGCAGCCAGCCCAGAGCCACCUACCUCUGGCCCCAGGCCGUGGGCAGCAAGAGGAAUGUGUGCACUUGGCGAGCCUUCUGCCAUCCUGUCCACAUCUAAUAAGUGCAAUCGUUUUGAGUCUUUCUGUGUUGACUAGAGGGAGGGGUUUUUGUUUUCUGGUUUUGUUUUUUGUUUUUGUUUCUUUUUCCUCUAUUAGAACAACCCUAUUUAUAGCUGCCUAAGAGAGAAGAGUGUAUGUUUGGAGUGGAAGAAAAAGGUUUUGAAUCUCAUGAGCCUUGAGCGCUGGAGCAUCUGAUCUGUCUCUACUCCCCCAGCAGAGGCACCUGAUAUGUAGGAUAUGUAAUUCUGGGGACUUGAUGGAGCGGGAAGAAGAGGGACCUGUGUUUGCUAAACCAAUCCCACCAUCCCUGUGCCUCCAUGAAUUCAGCAUGGACCUCAAGACUGUAGAGGCCGAUGGAAUUGGCUAGUGAUUCUCCACCCCAAGUAGGGAAAACCUCCAUCGUUUCCCUGCUUUCAUCCAGCUUUCCCCUGAUGUGCACAUGGAAGAAGACCAGGACAAACCCCCUGGGGAUAGGCCGACUCAGGGCCCUGAGGCCAGAGACAAGGCUGUGGGAGCCAAGAAUAGGACAGUUAUCCAGGCAUGGAGUUGUUUGCCUGACGUUGGCCAUUCUGCCUACCCCUGUUUGCCAUUUCCUCUUGGAGCUGACUUCAAGCCUAGCUUCCUCAACUACUGCUUUUCAAAAGGAAGAAGAAUCAAGUCCAUGCCCAAGUCCAGAUCCUGCACAUACUCCACCUUCAAUCCACUGCUGUCUAUAAAAUUAUUUUCCAUUUGCUCCUUCUAGUUCCCCCAAAGCUGUAGCCCUAUUCAAUCAAAGGAUAACGGUUGACUCCUAGGGCUCACUUCUAAUGACUGCCUCAGGCUAUUGCUCCCCAAGGAGGCUCAACACUAAAUAAAGGAGCCGGACACCCCCCCAAUCAGUAGCAUUCACCAACUGAAACAGCCUUAGGCAGUAGGUAACCAAUGUCACAACUAGAUCCCCUGACAUCCAUUAGCCAACACCAUGGCCCUUGGGGAUAGAGUGUCUGGCUGCCUUUGUCUCUCUGGGUCAAAGAAGGCUCUGCUGUAGAGAUACAAAACAGCUGCUUCCAAGCAGGGGAAUGGUCAUUUAAUAGAAGUAUCCACACUUCCCAGGAGAUGCCAUGCAAACUGCUUUAAUCAACUUUGACCAUUCUCAUUCUCCACCAGAAGCUAGGAUAACUUUCUGAUUCCUCUCUCCCUACCAUUUUGCAUAUCUCUCAGAAAGCCAAACAGUCAGAGCGCUUCCCAGUUCAUGCCUUCAGGGUCUGACUUCUUGCUCUCCAUUCCUUUCCUGUCACCCUCAUACACACACAUUAAACACACUUCCUCUAACCAUUAAUUCCAUGAUUUCUGGGGCUUGCACAUUAUUUCCAGAGUAUGGAAAGUAGAGACCACCAAGCUUCUUAACUAAUGUCAAGACAGAUCUUGGAGAGCAGGUGAAGACCUGCUAAUGUCCACCAAGUUUAAUUUAGGUCGUCCAAGUUGGGAGUUAAGAACCCAGGCAAAGCUGCUCCUAAACCUGCAGAGGAAGCUGGCCCAGGGGCAUCAAACUAAGGGUUAGUGGAUUGAGGAGUCAACAUUCAGGGACUCUCUAGGCCUUUACAGGUCAGACAGAAAAAGAGGCUUUUACCACUGUAGGGAACCCUUCAUGAACUAGCCAAGAGGCCUCUCUGCAGGAUGAGGUAUUCGUAGGGCCGCAGUACUGCGAGGCCUCAUUUUUCUUAGUACAAAACCUGCCCUGAUCUGAGUCUGGGAAUGGUAAGCCAUUCCUGCAAGGGCUGCAAGCGCCAAGUGAUGCAUAUCAGAAAGGCACUUAUGUCUUCAGCAACGUGGCAAUCUCUUUUUACUUCUCUGCCUCUGUCUUUCUGUAUUAUUGGGCCAGGCCCAUUCCCUAAACCUUAGAGAACAAAGUCAGGACAAAACUGACCAGAGCCUGGACUUGAACUGCCCUGCCCCAGGCCUACAAAUUCCCAGAGGUUGACAUUGAGCAGUGACUGCUCAGACUCUGCCAGGAUUGGAUUAAUUUGAGGUGGUGGAGGCUCAGAUUUAUUGCUGAAAGUUCAGUAGUACGGUCCUGGUCUUUAGCCCUAAUGAAAGUUUUCAUAUCCAAGAAGUUUUCUCCAUAUGCAUGUUUGAGGUGACUCUGGAGAUUAGGGGGCCAUAUCUCAAAUGUUAGAAAAUAUUAUAGAGCGUUCAGACUUCUGUAUUUGCUGCUUAACCUCAAUAUAACAGGCUCAAACUAGAGGAAGGGAGACAAAGUAUAACUGACCACAAGCAGAAAAUAAUGUUAACCUGCUUGGCUUCUCUCCUAAGCACUGUAAGAGAAAAGUGGAAGCCAACAACACAAGGAUACCUUUAAAUUUGACUUGUCUCAAAGGUAGCACACUCUGUCCUUGGGCCAUUACUUGGACUAGGAGCCCUCUACAAAAAUAUAUGAUAAGAGGGAAUAUAACCCCCAGUUCUUUUAUCAGCUUAUCUAGACAACACAGAUUGUAACAGUUUGGACAAACCAAAAACUUUAUUCUUCUGUGUGAGUCGAACUUAAGUUUCAGAGAAUAACCAUUACCACGUGGGAGGCUCUUUUUUUUUAAUGCAAAAGAAAUCUCAAAAUAUUGUAUUUAUAUCUACCUUCCACCGCUGCCGAUAUAGUAAGCAUCUCCUACACAACAAUAAAUGAUGCAGUUCAUAGAGUAUUUUGCACUUGGGGGAAAAAAUGUAUCUGAACUUGUAAAAAGAAAUGUUUGGAUUUUGUAUUGUCUUUUUUUAUUAUUAUUAUUAAAAUACU